GCGAUGCCUGCGAAGGAGGCUACGGGUAUUGCAGGCUGAAAGGAUUUGUUUGUUUGGUUUGUAUCUUUGUAUCGAUUGUUCAAGCAAGGUUCUCUUUCAAGUUUUAAAUUUUUCAAUGUAUUGAUGUCGGACGUAAGAGAGGCGUUGUGGAAAAAUGAUAAUGAUCUUCAAGAAUCCAUGGUAAAGUAUGUUGGCCAAAACCUUCAAAGACGUGAAAUUCUGGAUUUUUUAACUCGUGACUUCCCGCAAUAUGCAUGGAGUCUUAGAUCACUGGACCGAAGACUCCGUCAUUUUAACUUAUAUUUCAAAGAUAAUAGCGUGACAGUAGAUGAAGUCAUCCAGGCGGUUGAAACUGAACUAAAAGGACCAGGAAGAUUACUGGGAUAUCGCGCAAUGCACAAGAAAAUUCGGCAAGAACAUGGCCUAAAUGUUACCCGUGAUCAAGUUUACGAUGUUAUGUAUGAAUUGUGCCCCGAAGGUCUCGAAGAAAGAGGUGGCGUCGGUGGAAAGAAACAACGAAAGAAAGGCAAUUUCACCACAAAAGGGACUAACUGGGUUCACUCACUCGAUGGCCACGAUAAGCUAAUGGGAUAUCAAAAUUCUACCUUCCCAUUAGCUAUAUAUGGUUGCCUGGAUACAGCAAGCCGAAAACUUCUCUGGCUUAGAAUAUGGGUAACAAAUAGCGACCCCGAAAUAAUUGGACGAUGGUACCUGGAGCAUCUCUACGAAACAAAGAUAAUUUCAGCCAUUCUUAGAGUAGACAAAGGGACUGAAACAGGGGUAAUGGCCACGAUGCAUUCAUUUCUAAGGAGGUAUCAUGGAGACAUGGAUCCACACGAGACAGUUAUUUAUGGGCCUUCAACAUCAAAUCAAGUAAGUUUUAAUUAAUAUCGGCAGAAACUCUCAGAUAUAAUCAGUG